ensembl:lncRNA
UGUGGAUAUAAUAUCUAGUCUUAGAUGUGUUCAAGUUUUGUUUCUGUUUUUUGUUUGUUUGUUUUGUCUUAUACUUUGUUUUUAGUUUUCCAGUUUGUUCAAUGUGUGCCUGGGAUUCAAAACCACAAGGUUCUGGAACUAUUGACAAUUUCUAUCAAGAUAUUUGGCUUAUUAAGGAACAGUAAGGCUGUGUAUUAUAUAAUACUGCUUACUGUAUGCCAGGCACUGUGUUGUUCAACACAUAUUAUUACCUCAUAAAAUCAGUGAUGCUAUGAAAUUGGUAUUAGCUCCAUUUUUCAGAAAGGUUAAGUUUAGAGAGACAAAUUAGGUUCCCUUGGGCUGCAUUAUUAAGCAGCAGAAUGGGGAUUCAGAUUGUCUGUUAAUCAUUAUCUUAACCACAACACUAUAAAUAUUCAGUCUUAUUUCACCCUUUUAUUACAAUAUAGAUUUACUUUAACCAAUCCCUGUUAAAUGCACACUUUGAUGAAGGCAUUUUUACUUUGAGUAGUUUACAUAUUUUGACUAAAAAUGUGUAAGCAUAAAGUAUGAAUGCAGUUCAUAUGAACACCUGCAGCUAUAGUUCUCUCUGUUUGCUGGAUAAAUGAUUUCAUUUUCCAAGAUUGGAUUUCUUUUCAAAAGAGGCUGAAAAGCAUUCACUUAGUUAGCUCACUUUGUUUUCAAGUCUAUUAAGAAACACUGCAUUUGAAUCACAUUCUGAUUAAACUUAUAAUUUUAGGGUUACCAUAUUUGGUUGAUUUUAACACAUUUUCUAUAUUUUACAUCUUUGAAGUCAGAAAUAAAUUUGUUUCUUACGUUUUGAUGGCCCACUGUAGUUAAAUUGGCAGAUUUUUCUUUGUUAAUGAAAGAUAAAAUAGUUAUAUGUCUUAAAAUUAAUGACAUCUUGGAUUUGAUGAAUUAACAGUAGUGGUUAUAUAUGAAUGACUGUUCCAUAUAUAAUCUGCCUAUUUUGGGAGGUAAAACAGUAUGAUAUAUUCUCAGUAUUGCGAAGAUUAAAUAAGAUAAAAUAAUCAUCAUGGUAUCUGGCACAUAGUAAGAGCUUAGGAAAUGUCAGCUGUUGUUAUGAUAUUGUAAAUAUUAGUGUUAUAACUGCAUGAUGGCUCCACAGCUAUAGACCAGAGAAAGGUGACCAGCAGCCUUCAGUUUAUAAGUGAAAGAAAUUAACUGUUCUUUCAGUUAUUUCCUGUAGGCAGGUUGUUUUAUAAACAAAUAUGACUGGCAUUAAAUUAAUAUUUCCAAGACUGCUGUAUAUAUAGAAUGCUGAAAACCACCAUUAUACAAUAUACUGUGCUGUACUGCUCAUUAUGGACUCUUAUUCUGGCAUAUUCUCAAAAUACAGAACUGAAUAUAGAUAUUCACUAGUCUAGUCCAGGGGAAUUUUGUCCAAGAAACGCAGCACCAGAGAUUACACAUAUGAGAAACAAGAUUGUUGUCAGUAGACUUUGAGUAUGUCAGUUUUUAUAAGAGCUUUGCUUCCCUCAGUCACACAACAGUUUUUUUUUUACCUGUAAUACAAGUUAAAUAGCAAAUAAUUGUUGCAGGAGUAAUAUUUUUCUCUUCUUUCAGUAACUCACACUUAUUUUUCAGGCCCUGAACACUUUUAAGUAUAGUCAUACCUAUCAGACAUUAAAGUGCUUAAUAUAAAACAUGUUGUUGUUGUUUA